rnacentral:rRNA from 1 species
GACGUAGGGGGCGAGCGUUGUCCGGAAUUAUUGGGCGUAAAGAGCUCGUAGGCGGUCUGUUGCGUCCGCUGUGAAAACUCGGGGCUUAACCCCGAGCCUGCAGUGGAUACGGGCAGACUAGAGGUAGGUAGGGGAGAAUGGAAUUCCCGGUGUAGCGGUGAAUGCGCAGAUAUCGGGGAAGAACACCCGUGGCGAAGGCGGCUCUCUGGGACGGUACUGACGCCUGAGACGCGAAAGCGUGGGGAGCGAACAGG